rnacentral:sRNA from 1 species
AUGUUCGGCGUGUCGGUCUUCGGGCGCCUGAUGAGUUCAUAGUUGGGCGGUGGUGUCAGCGGUUUCGCUGGCGUUCGUGGGCCUCCCCCGGACCCACACACGGAAACACGCAACCAUUCGGGGAUCCAGACGCCCGUUUACACGCACCACCCCUGGGCGGGCUGUGCGGCUCAGGCCCUCCCCCGGGACCGGCCCGUGUCCCGCCCCGUGUCCCGCCCGGUAUUUGUGCGGCGCCAGCUGGCCCGGUAGCCUGCGGCGCAGAGAGGCUGGGCUUAUAGGCGCAGUAGCUCCAGAGGUCGCGCUGGGCUGAGAGUGCGGGCCGGCAGAGGCUGGCGGGGAGCAGCCGGGGUUAUGCUGGGCAAGGAUUACAUGCUGGCCAUCAUUCUGGUCAACUGCGAUGGUGUGCACGGAGGGGCCUGGUGGGAAGACCAGGAGCUGAGGGAGGACGAGGGAAUCCGAAAGGCUACUCUGGGGCUCAAAGACAGGGUGGGGGAUACCUCUGUGUGUAGGGACCAGGGAGCGAAUGAACCCGAUCUUUACAUGUGAUGUCUUCAAGAUUGAGGAGCUUGGAUCUUCAGCCUAAGAACUGACCCAUUUUGGGGAUGGAGAGGGGAUUAUGACAGCAUGUUAUUCUGAACUCACAAAUCAUAUGCUCCCUCCUUUCUAAUCCGGUGUUCCUGUAGAUGACUUGUGGGGGGACCACAGUCUGGAGGGGGAGGCUGGCCUGCCUCCUGGCUGGAGGAAGAUCCACGAUGCUGCAGGUACUUACUACUGGCAUAUACCCAGCGGUAGCACCCAGUGGCAGCGCCCAACCUGGGAACUAGGAGAUGCAGAGGACCCAGGCACGGGAACGGAGGGGAUCUGGGGACUGCGACCCCCCAAAGGGAGAUCCUUCUCCAGCCUGGAGAGUUCACUGGACCGGAGUAACUCUCUGUCCUGGUAUGGUGAGGAAUCCUACAUCCACAGCAUGGAGCCAGGGGCUAAGUGCUUUGCAGUCCGCUCUCUGGGCUGGGUAGAGGUACCUGAAGAGGACCUGGCACCGGGGAAGAGCAGUAUUGCAGUCAAUAACUGUAUCCAGCAGCUGGCCCAGACCCGCAGCCGGAGCCAGCCUCCAGAUGGUGCCUGGGGUGAGGGCCAGAACAUGCUGAUGAUCCUGAAGAAGAAUGCCAUGAGCCUAGUGAAUCCCCUGGACCACAGUCUGAUCCACUGCCAGCCUCUGGUGCACAUCCGUGUGUGGGGCGUGGGGAGCUCCAAAGGCCGGUGAGGAUGCCUACAUCCCCCAAGCAAGAGCUACUUCUCCCUCCCUGCUGCAGGCUGUGAUCCCCACUGUGCUGAUCCCCAGUACUUGAACCCCUGGACACAGAUCCUCUGAUGUGGACCCAGGACUGCUUCCCCUGCCUGGUCCAGCCCUGGUUGGGGAGGGUGGGCCCAGCUCAGCAGGGACAGAUGGGGGAGAGUCCGAGAGGCUGGGCUGAUUCCCUUCUGUGCUCCCACAUGCUUCCGGAACAGUGACAGGUGAGUGAAAACCAGGUAUCCUGAGCCCCAUCCCUGACGUCCCUACUCCAUCCCUGCUAUAUCCCUAGCCUGACUUUCCAGCCUCCUGCAGGCUCCUGCCUCUAACCAGCCUCUACCCCAGCCCCAUCUCUGCCCCUGCUAGGGACUUCGCUUUUGUGGCAAGUGACAAAGAUAGCUGUAUGCUCAAGUGCCAUGUGUUUCACUGUGAUGUCCCUGCCAAGGCCAUUGCCAGUGCGCUACAUGGGCUUUGUGCCCAGAUCUUGUCAGAGCGAGUAGGGGUCAGUGGUGAUGCCUCUUGCUGCUCCCCAGACCCCAUCUCUCCUGAAGACCUGCCACGGCAAGUGGAGCUGCUGGAUGCGGUAAGCCAAGCUGCUCAGAAGUAUGAGGCACUGUACAUGGGGACACUGCCAGUCACCAAAGCCAUGGGCAUGGAUGUGCUGAACGAGGCCAUUGGUACCCUCACCGCCAGGGGGGACCGGAAUGCCUGGGUCCCAACCAUGCUCAGUGUGUCUGACUCUCUCAUGACUGCACACCCCAUUCAGGCAGAGGCCAGUACAGAGGAGGAGCCAUUGUGGCAGUGCCCUGUGCGCCUUGUGACAUUUAUUGGUGUUGGCCGCGACCCACACACCUUUGGCCUCAUCGCUGACCUGGGCCGUCAGAGCUUCCAGUGCGCAGCCUUCUGGUGCCAGCCCCAUGCAGGGGGACUCUCCGAAGCUGUGCAGGCUGCCUGUAUGGUUCAGUACCAGAAGUGUCUUGUGGCCUCUGCAGCUCGAGGCAAGGCCUGGGGUGCUCAGGCCCGUGCCCGCCUGCGGCUCAAGCGGACCAGCUCCAUGGAUUCCCCAGGAGGUCCCCUGCCCCUCCCCCUGCUCAAAGGAGGGGUUGGCGGUGCAGGGGCAACCCCUCGAAAGCGGGGUGUCUUCUCUUUUCUUGAUGCCUUCCGGCUGAAACCCUCUCUGCUCCAUAUGCCCUAAACUUAUCUGGGAAGGCUGGGGAAGUAGGCUCUGGGUCCAUGCCUAACUCUGUACCGUUUUAUUCCUCAAGGCCCAUAGCCUGUCACCCCUUGAAGCCUUCUCUGCCUGUCCCUCUGAUCCUUGUCCACCGUCUAUUUAUUGCCCAAUUUAUUGUUUAUACGGAUGACUGGGAGGUACUGCACCACAGUGUAGGACCCUGGCUCCCCUUUCCUUGGGUCCUUGUGUUCCUUGCCCCUGUCCAACCCUGGACAGUUGGCUCUACCUCAGUAACACUUUAUAGCAAAAUCAGUGCAAAUAAAAAUCCCUCAGUGACCUC